UCAAUAGUAAAGGUAUAUCUGAUCCCCUGAAGUGUGCUUGGUACCUUCAUCCAAACCACAGUCUGGAAAUUUCUGUCAUAACAUAAUAAUAUUUCAAUAUUGAAUACAUACUGUGCACUAGUACUGAACUGGGCACAUCGCAUAUGUUGGCCUUGCUAUCAUCCAGUUUAAAAGAUGAGGAAAACUGAGGUUCAGGGGCAAAGUGAUUGGAUCACAGAUAUAAGAAUAAGCAGUAUAACUGGAAUUAGAACUUCAGAAUUCUCACACUGUAGAGCUCAAAUAGAGGAAGGACUCUUAUUCAUAUUCCUGACUUAGGGUCUUCUCAAGUAAAUCCCUGCAAUCUGUUUAAUUCAUAAUGCUACCAAGAGACAAAGAACUCCCCUCAACCUCUGGAUCUGCUAAGGCCCCAAAGUUUUUCUUACACUAUUACUUACUAUAAUCCUCACCUCCCUGGUAGGACUAGCUUCUCUUCUUUAGAGUUCAGGAAACUUUCUUGGACUAGCUUCUCUUCUCUAGAGUUCAGGAAACCUUCUCUAAAGUCCCAGAACAACCUCUGAAACAACCCCCUUUUUUUUCUUCUUCCUUCUCUGGGGUCCCAGUCCUGAUUCCUUGCUGUCCCUGCACUCAUGCCCAUCUCUGCUGUCUCGGAAUUCAGUGUCAUGAGGACUUGGAGAGGACCUGAGGGUUAUAAUCUGGCUUUUUCCACUCCAGACAAGCCCCAAAUCCUUCAUUCACUGACCAUAACUCUCCCACUUCUCCCACUCUUGUAUCUGGUUCAGGAACCAACAAUUCAGUAUGAGGAAGCAGCAGCAGCAACUACUAAAGCAACCAAACAAGACCCUUCCAUCCAAGAAUGUGCACAUCUCAAC